GGGCUCGGCGCCCGGCCGGCCGAGAGCUGUGUAGGGUAAACUCGCGGCGUCGCGCGCACCGCCUCGGGACCCUCCUCCGGCCGAAGGGAGCAGUGAGGCGGCGACGAGAUGAUCGAGACGCUCGUGAGCGGCGAUGCCCGCGCGCUGCUCUACCGGCUGACGGCUCUGCUGGAGCAGGAGCUGCGCUGCCAGCCGAAGGGCUCCGGCCUGAGGCUGAUCGAGUCCGCCCACGACAACGGCCUCCGAAUGACCGCGAGGCUGCGAGACUUCGAAGUGAAGGAUCUGCUCAGCUUAACUCAGUUCUUCGGCUUCCACACGGAGACCUUCUCGCUGGCUGUCAACUUCUUAGAUAGGUUCUUGUCCAAAAUGAAGGUACAGCCUAAACACUUGGGCUGUGUUGGACUGAGCUGCUUCUACCUAGCUGUGAAGGCAACAGAAGAAGAGAGAAAUGUUCCCUUAGCCACCGACUUAAUCCGAAUAAGCCAGUAUAGGUUCACUGUUUCUGAUAUGAUGAGAAUGGAGAAAAUCGUAUUGGAGAAGCUUUCUUGGAAAGUCAAAGCAACAACAGCCUUCCAGUUUCUACAGCUUUAUCAUUCGCUCAUUCAUGAGAAUUUAAGCUGUGAAAGGAAAAGAUACCUUAAUUUUGAGAGACUUGAGACCCAGCUUAAGGCAUGUCACUGCAGAAUCAUGUUUUCUAAAGCUAAGCCUUCUGUUUUAGCACUGUCUAUCAUGGCACUAGAGAUAGAAGAACAAAAACUACUGGAGUUGACAGAGGCAUUGGAAUUUCUGCAGUUGCAUUCCAAGAUAAACAACAGAGAUUUGACCUUCUGGAAGGAAUUGGUGUUGAAGUGCCUUACAGAAUAUUCCUCAAGCAAGUGUUCCAAACCAAAUGUCCAGAAAUUAAAAUGGAUCGUGUCUGGACGUACAGCACGGCAGCUUAAGCAUAGCUAUUAUAGAAUAACACACCUUCCUACAAUUCCAGAAACCAGCUCAUAAUAGGUAACCUGUUGGAGAUGUUAACGUAAAUGUGGUAGGCCUGUCACAGAGGCUGGUCUGUUCUCAUGUUCAUGCUUGAGCCUGUGGUGUACCUAAGGAAGUGGCUACCUAAUAUGUGAACACUGGAAAUGGAACUGAUGCUUUGAUGUGCUCUGGGAGCAGAAAUAUAUUCUACAGACAUUACGACCUCAUUCAAACUUAAAUACGGAGUAGAACUGGAGUACAAUAAAAGGAGAAAACCAGCCUGAAACUUGUUCAUAGACAGAUGAAGGUUCAAGAAACAUCUUAAUAAUGAAGAACUUGACUUUUGCAAGAAUAUAUAGUGGUUCAGACUAGAAUUCCUUGCAGCAAAUGUUGUUUUCCAUGACUAUGAUACCUAACGUUAGCUUUUGGUCUUACUAGAUGAUUUACUAUUUAAGCAGUAAAAUAUCACAAUACUGAUGAAAAGAAUUUAAUACCUUAUAGUUUGUAGAGCAGCUUGUGUAAUCUAACCAUGUUUUACAGCAAGUGCAGGUGCAAAAUUAUAUAUUAAAUGGAAAAAAUUGGUUCACUUUCCAAAGACUACUUGACACUAGGUAAACGUAUGCAGUAGCACAGUGCUUCAGUUUCUCAGACAAACUAAAGACCACCUUACUCAGCAUUGAUAGAAUAACAAAUGCUCAUCAGUCCAGCUGACAGGCUGUUUGGAUAGCAGCACACACCUGUGUUCUUACAGGGUAGGGUGCUCACCUUUACCAUGGACACAAACUGAAAAUAAGGUUUUGUGGUGCCUGUUGUGUAGUCAUUAAGAAUGCAUCAGUAACAUCGGUAUUAUAUAAGAGGUGUGGUUUGCUGAGAUUAUGGGCAAGUGUGUGGUAACUUCAUAAUACCUAGUGCUGGCUGGGGAGAAAACACCACAGCAUCUGCUCCAAAUUGGGCAUCAGUUUGCCAGGAUUCCACUGUACAAGAAGUAAAUGCUGAUACUGAACAAGAGGGACAAGUACAGUCAGAAAUGUUCAGGCUUCACUGUGCUGCUACCUACAGGCUACUCAAGAUUAGGAAAACGUGAAGACUUGCAACCAUAGUCUGUUUGACAGCUUACUAAGUAAAAUUGCUGAUUUUCCCUGAAGACUAAGUCAGUACUUGAGGUGUAUCAUGCUGCUGGAACUAACGUGAAAGUGAACAUGAAGAAUAUGUUAUUGUAUGUAAGAUGGAUGAGGAUUUGGGGGAAUGUUGCUUAUGACUCCUUGAGUUCUGUUAAAAACCGGUUGUUGUAUGAAUGGAGUCAGUGGAGAAGGAAGGAAUCUGCAUGUCUGGAAUACUCUGUGGACUUACCAGCUAGCCUGCCAAAUCCAUCUCCUUUAUGGUAAUAAUGGAUGAGGAGAUAAUUCUUCACUUCUCUCAAACUAGUUAAACUUCUCACAGAAAACUACAUACCAAAGCUCCAUACUGGACAAAUCAAGCUUUCUCAUAAACUCAUGGGAAUGGUUAUGCUGCAUAGUAUUGAAUUGCAUUUUCCAUCCACCAGUGCAAUAUAUGCAUUGUGCUGAAAGGAACACAAGUGAUGUAGACAGAUGGGCAGUCAGCCUACUGGGAGAUUGCAAGAUGCAGCAUGCAAUUGUGCUGGUAUUGUCGUGUCUCAAGAUAUGUACCUUUCAAUUAAACAUUGAAAUGCAAA